UACGGAGGAUGCGAGCGUUAUCCGGAUUUAUUGGGUUUAAAGGGUGCGUAGGCUGUUAUAUAAGUCAGCGGUGAAAUAUUCGGGCUUAACCGGGAUACUGCCGUUGAUACUGUAUAGCUGGAAUAUGGUUGCUGUGGGUGGAAUGUGUGGUGUAGCGGUGAAAUGCAUAGAUAUCACACAGAAUAUCGAUUGCGAAGGCAACUCACAAAGCCAUUAUUGACGCUGAUGCACGAAAGUGUGGGGAUCAAACAGG
rnacentral:rRNA from 1 species